UACGUAGGGCGCGAGCGUUGUCCGGAAUUAUUGGGCGUAAAGAGCUCGUAGGCGGCCAGUUGCGUCCGCUGUGAAAACCUAGGGCUUAACCCUGGGCCUGCAGUGGAUACGGGCAGACUAGAGGUAGGUAGGGGAGAAUGGAAUUCCCGGUGUAGCGGUGAAAUGCGCAGAUAUCGGGAGGAACACCGGUGGCGAAGGCGGUUCUCUGGGCCUUACCUGACACUGAGGAGCGAAAGCGUGGGGAGCGAACAGG
rnacentral:rRNA from 1 species